rnacentral:rRNA from 1 species
AUGGAGGGAGCUCCCGUGACCGCAGCCACGGGGGCCUUGGGGCCCGUCGUAGCCAAGCUGGGUGCUCUGCUGGGCGGCGACUACAAACUUCGGCACCGGACUCGCAAGGACGUCAAGUUCAUCAAAUCCAAGCUCAAGUCUGUGCACUCCAUCCUUUGGGCGGUAUGGGAGAAGGAGAUUCUUGAUGCGGAAUCCAAGGUCCUGAAGAAGGAAGCGCUGGAUCUCGCCGAUGAUAUACAAGACGCCAUCGACGACUUCAUCCUCACCAUGGAGCCCAGCCGCAGAAAUAAGCACCUGAUGGUACAGAUCAAGAUCAAAGCAAGCCCCUUCCAAGAUUUCAGGAGAACAGUAGACGAGGUGUCAGGCCAGUGCCGCAGAAAGUGGAAGUGGGAGAAGAACAAGUCUGCUCAACCCAUCUCCAGCUUAUUCUCAAGAAAGAACGCCACAUACAGAGCCCCCAGCAAACAGCCUCCUCCUCGAGCUCCAUUUGUCCGCAAGGAUGCGUCAGAGAUCAUUGGUAUGGACGGAUGGAGGGAUGACCUCAUCAAAUACCUGCUAGGAGUAGACGAGAUCAGAAUGGUGCAGCCUCAUCUCAAAAUGGCAUCCAUUGUUGGGAUGGCCGGUGUGGGGAAAACAACCCUUGCCAGCCUUGUGUAUGAGCAUGAGGACAUUCAAAAUCAUUUCGAGUCCCGGGCUUUUGUGUCCGUCACUCCAGCUCCUAAUAUGAAGGAGGUUCUCACAAGUAUCCUCCACCAACUAGGAGCUGAACCACUUGCUGGCGCCCAAGCAAGGACAGAGGAAGAUAUAAUCCACGCCAUAUCAAAUUUCCUAGAGGACAAAAGACAUGUGUAUUGCGGGCUAAGAGAUAUGUCCCUUUUGAGAAGUUGGAAUGUGUGCGGGUGUUGGAUCUUCAAUAUCACCACCAUCAGCUUGAAUUCAAAAAGCCUGGUUGGAAAUAUUUUGAAUUCGAGGCCCUUGGAAAUCAACAUGUGA